ACUUCAAUGUCUUCAUACAUUUUUAGGGGUCAUCUCUGGUAGGAAAACCGAAUCAAUGAGGGACUUCUACCUGUGUUAUCCUGCAAUUCUCACAAACACAUUAGUCCCUCAACCAGGUUUGUCAUCAAUACUCCAAAACCAACUAGGGGUGGCACUAGAUGCACUUACAGUAAGACUGUGUUGCUUUUGUUGAUGACAUUCCGGUAACCACCGAUGGAUGAGAACUUUGCCUAUUGGUCCACCUCGUUUCAACAAGCGGGAAAAUGGUUCUCUUCGUCCCUUGCCCUUGGUACCGACAUUAUUGCCGACAUAACCACAUGCUACCCUCUGACAUGCCUUGCUAUCAUAACCGUGCAAGAUGUCACCGCUCCUUCUACUUUUAACCCACAUGGUGGGCCCAUAACCCAUAGUUCCACAAGAUCGAAACCUGACUCUCCUGUACAGCCCUGUUUCUAAAGUUAUUCCUCACGCUUGGCUUCAUAUGAAAUAACGAGUCGCCUUCCUAGAGAUGACCUAUUCUGGUAUCAGACACUAUACUUAUUCCCAUUGCUUUGAACCCCUUUCAUGCCCUGUUUUAGGCAUCGAACGAUUGCAUGCCCGCUCGAAACUUCCCAUGAUACCUCCUUACUUUGCUCUCGAUAAUUCCUUAAG
rnacentral:lncRNA from 1 species